UUGAAACACCAGUUCUCAUUGGAUCACCAAAGUUAAGCAACAUUGAGCCAUGUUAGUAUCUUGAUGGGUGGUUGUUUGGGAAUAUCAGGU